rnacentral:rRNA from 1 species
CCUACGGGGGGCAGCAGUGAGGAAUAUUGGUCAAUGGUCGGGAGACUGAACCAGCCAAGCCGCGUGAGGGAGGAAGGUACAGAGUAUCGUAAACCUCUUUUGUCAGGGAACAAAGGCGGGGACGUGUCCCCGGAUGAGUGUACCUUAAGAAAAAGCAUCGGCUAACUCCGUGCCAGCAGCCGCGGUAAUACGGAGGUGGCAAGCGUUGUCCGGAUUUACUGGGUGUAAAGGGCGUGCAGCCGGGAAGACAAGUCAGAUGUGAAAUCCCGCGGCUCAACCGCGGAACUGCAUUUGAAACUGUUAGUCUUGAGUAUCGGAGAGGUAAUCGGAAUUCCUAGUGUAGCGGUGAAAUGCGUAGAUAUUAGGAAGAACACCAGUGGCGAAGGCGGAUUACUGGACGACAACUGACGGUGAGGCGCGAAAGCGUGGGGAGCAAACAGGAUUAGAUACCCCUGUAGUC